UACGGGGGGUGCGAGCGUUGUCCGGAAUCACUGGGCGUAAAGAGCUCGUAGGCGGCUUGUUGCGUCGACUGUGAAAACCCGCGGCUUAACUGCGGGCUUGCAGUUGGAUACGGGCAGGCUAGAGUUCGGUAGGGGAGACUGGAAUUCCUGGUGUAGCGGUGAAAUGCGCAGAUAUCAGGAGGAACACCGGUGGCGAAGGCGGCGUGCUGGGCCAGCUUCGUGACGCUGAGGAGCGAAAGCGUGGGGAGCGAACAGG
rnacentral:rRNA from 1 species